rnacentral:rRNA from 1 species
UACGUAGGGGGCAAGCGUUGUCCGGAAUCAUUGGGCGUAAAGAGCGUGUAGGCGGCCCGAUAAGUCCGCUGUGAAAGUCCAGGGCUCAACCCUGGGAUGCCGGUGGAUACUGUCGGGCUCGAGUCCGGAAGAGGAGUGUGGAAUUCCUGGUGUAGCGGUGAAAUGCGCAGAUAUCCGGAGGAACACCAGUGGCGAAGGCGACACGCUGGGCCGUACCUGACACUGAACCGCGACAGCAUGGGGAGCAAACAGG